AGCAGCCGCGGUAAUUCCAGCUCCAAUAGCGUAUAUUAAAGUUGUUGCAGUUAAAAAGCUCGUAGUUGAAUUUCGGGAUCAGUUGGUCGGUCGUGCCUCGGUACGUACUGGUCAAAUUGAUUCCUACCUUCUGACGAACCACGAUGUCAUUAAUUUGGUGUCGUGGGGAAUCAGGACUGUUACUUUGAAAAAAUUAGAGUGUUUAAAGCAGGCUCGCGCUUGAAUACAUUAGCAUGGAAUAAUGAAAUAGGACGUUUGAUUCUAUUUUGUUGGUUUCUAGGAUCGACGUAAUGAUUAAUAGGGAUAGUUGGGGGCAUUAGUAUUCAAUUGUCAGAGGUGAAAUUCUUGGAUUUAUUGAAGACUAACUACUGCGAAAGCAUUUGCCAAGGAUGUUUUCAUUAAUCAAGAACGAAAGUUAGGGGAUCGAAGACGAUCAGAUACCGUCGUAGUCUUAACCAUAAACUAUGCCGACUAGGGAUCGGAUGAUGUUAAUUUUUAAUGACUCAUUCAGCGCCUUACG
rnacentral:rRNA from 1 species